UGAGGCUUAGAAGUUCUUAUUGUUCUGUUAAAAAAGAAGCCAUGUUUGAACACGAUGUUCAAACAAGUCGCCACUGAGCCAUGGAUGGCGAAUUGGCGACGGUGGCGUAUUGCUGUAAUGCGUGUGAUCAGAACAAUUAGAACUUCUUAGCAUC
rnacentral:ncRNA from 1 species